CUGCUUUGGCAACACAUAUACUAAAAUUGGAAUGAUACAGAGAAUGUUGUCAGGAUCCAUGUGUAAUGAUGAUAUGCAAAUUUGUGAAACAUUCAAUUAAAAAAUAUUU
rnacentral:snRNA from 1 species